rnacentral:rRNA from 1 species
GACGAACGCUGGCGGCGUGCUUAACACAUGCAAGUCGAACGGAAAGGCCCCUUUGGGGGUACUCGAGUGGCGAACGGGUGAGUAACACGUGAGUAACCUGCCCUUGACUUCGGGAUAACUUCAGGAAACUGGGGCUAAUACCGGAUAGGAAUCCUUGCUGCAUGGUGGGGGUUGGAAAGCUUCGGCGGUUUUGGAUGGACUCGCGGCUUAUCAGCUUGUUGGUGGGGUAGUGGCUUACCAAGGCUUUGACGGGUAGCCGGCCUGAGAGGGCGACCGGCCACAUUGGGACUGAGAUACGGCCCAGACUCCUACGGGAGGCAGCAGUGGGGAAUAUUGCACAAUGGGCGGAAGCCUGAUGCAGCAACGCCGCGUGCGGGAUGACGGCCUUCGGGUUGGAAACCGCGUUCAGCAGGGGCGAAGCUUGUGGUGACGGUACCUGCAGAAGAAGCACCGGCUAACUACGUG